rnacentral:rRNA from 1 species
UGGCGAACGGGUGAGUAACGCGUGAGGAACCUGCCUCAAAGAGGGGGACAACAGUUGGAAACGACUGCUAAUACCGCAUAAGCCCACGACCCGGCAUCGGGAAGAGGGAAAAGGAGCAAUCCGCUUUGAGACGGCCUCGCGUCCGAUUAGCUAGUUGGUGAGGUAACGGCCCACCAAGGCAACGAUCGGUAGCCGGACUGAGAGGUUGACCGGCCACAUUGGGACUGAGAUACGGCCCAG